GUGAGGUGAAAUGAAAUGUGCAAGAAUUAAAGACGGAAGUGUUUGACCAGAUGCGGAGACAGAUAUGUUGGUUUGGUUACCCACAGCCCAAGCCUAUAUGCGCUUUGUCUAAAUCAUGUAGGAAAAGGAAUCUCACAACUUCAGAAAAUCCACAUAUUGAAUAAGCAGAUGAUGAAAGAACAUCCUAUCUUUGGUCAGUGAGCUUUAAACAGAAUUGAAAAGUAAAGUAGCUGAGGGAAAAGAAGUGGAGGGACUCUGACAGAAGCAGAUCACAGAGAAGAUAAUGAAGAUGGAGCAGAGAGAUGCAGCCAUAAUGCCAACACCCAUGAAAAGCUGAAGAGACAUAUCUGCAUACAUUUUCACCAAUGACCAAGACAGGGA